AAUUAUUAAAAACGAAGUAACAAUUAAUUUAAUCAUUUAAAUUAAAAGAAAAUUAAUCUCGAAUCCAAAAGUUUACCUCUCCUUCAAUCUAAAAAUUUAAAAAAAAAUCAUCAAAUCCAUAACCUUCAAACAACCACAUCUCUCUCACCCCUACCCAUAUGAUGAGUGAAUAGCUUUGAUCAUGAUGCAAGGUUGAACUGUACUCUAACAUCAACAAGAAGAAUGAGUUCAGAGUUAAAACUUGAGUUUUGCUUAACAACACAAUAUCAAAUGUUUCCAACUUCUUUGGUUUUGAACUCGCAGAUCAUCUGUCAAAACUCAAUAAAUUAACCAUUGCAACAAGUCUCUUUGUUUCUUCCACCAUUCGACUUCGUUUGGAUCAUGAAAGUAAAUUAAGAGAAAAGAUUGUUGAAGGAAAGAAAAUAAGAGAAAAGUGAGUGGAAAGUAAGUUGAUUAUUUGGUGUUUGGUAGAAGUGAUAAAGGAAAGAAAGAAAGAUUUAUAAUUAGUAAGGAGUUGGUAGUUAUUGACACUUUACAAUCGUCAAUCAAAUGAACGGUCAUUACACACGAGAGCUUUUGUUGAUGAUGAUAAGGAUACAUUGGGAUACGUAAAAUGGACUGUACCUCUUGUAAAUCAAACACCAUUGAGAGCAUAUUCAGAUUGCAAGUUCUAGAUUCCAAGUGAAUGAGGUCACAAACAUUAAGGGAGAUGUAUCUUCCGUUCAUGUGUAUGUAUGGCUUAUAAUUUUGGUGAUGACGAAUCCAAGGCUCGAUUCUUAUUUUGAUGAGAUACCCAUCUCCUAUUCUCCAUCAGUAACCUUUUUCGUAGAAGAUCUUGAGAAGCCAUGAUACUAUGUCAAAUGAAGCUUGAAUUAUGACCCAAAGUGCAUCCAAGAAAUCCCCUGGAGGGAAAUAUUUAACUUUGAGGUUUCGACCUUGCUUCCAAAGAAGUGCUAGAUUAAAUCUACGGAGAUUACGAAAGCCUACUACGGAGAUUAAAUCAUUUCCCAUAUUAACCAAUUCAAACAUUUCUCUUAGUGCCCCACAAGUAAGAGUUCAACAUCUUUUCAAUGUCAUAUGUCAACGUGGGAUAAGGAUUAGGACCACACUCAUAUAGUAUGAUGGAAUUUAAUUGUGCCAUUGCUUUCAUAAAUAUUUCUUUCCCCACCUUUGAUAGAGACCUAACACUCCAAGAUUGAAUUUUGUGCCAAACACAAUUCUUUUUAUUGUAAUUGAUACGAACAACCGUUUUUUA